GACGAACCGUCCUAACGUUGUUCGGAAUCACUGGGCUUAAAGGGCGCGUAGGCGGGUUCCCAAGUCGGUGGUGAAAUCGUUUCGGCCCAACCGGAAAACAGCCGCCGAUACUGGGAGUCUUGAGGGAGGUAGGGGUCGAUGGAACUUCCGGUGGAGCGGUGAAAUGCGUAGAUAUCGGGAGGAACACCGGCGGCGAAGGCGGCUGCCUGGACCAGUCCUGACGCUGAGGCGGCGAAAGCUGAGGGGAGCAAACAGGG
rnacentral:rRNA from 1 species